rnacentral:rRNA from 1 species
GGGAGGCAGCAGUGGGGAAUAUUGCACAAUGGGCGCAAGCUGAUGCAGCGACGCCGCGUGAGGGAUGACGGCCUUUCGGGUUGUAAACCUCUUUCAGUAGGGAAGAAGCGAAAGUGACGGUACCUGCAGAAGAAGCACCGGCUAACUACGUGCCAGCAGCCGCGGUAAUACGUAGGGUGCGAGCGUUAUCCGGAAUUAUUGGGCGUAAAGAGCUCGUAGGCGGUUUGUCGCGUCUGUCGUGAAAGUCCGGGGCUUAACCCCGGAUCUGCGGUGGGUACGGGCAGACUAGAGUGCAGUAGGGGAGACUGGAAUUCCUGGUGUAGCGGUGGAAUGCGCAGAUAUCAGGAGGAACACCGAUGGCGAAGGCAGGUCUCUGGGCUGUAACUGACGCUGAGGAGCGAAAGCAUGGGGAGCGAACAGGAUUAGAUACCCUGGUAGUCCAUGCCGUAAACGUUGGGCACUAGGUGUGGGGACCAUUCCACGGUUUCCGCGCCGCAGCUAACGCAUUAAGUGCCCCGCCUGGGGAGUACGGCCGCAAGGCUAAAACUCAAAGGAAUUGACGGGGGCCCGCACAAGCGGCGGAGCAUGCGGAUUAAUUCGAUGCAACGCGAAGAACCUUACCAAGGCUUGACAUGUUCUCGAUCGCCGUAGAGAUACGGUUUCCCCUUUGGGGCGGGUUCACAGGUGGUGCAUGG